CAAAAAAAUUUUCAACCCCCCCAAUAUUCGGCAUAAUAAAAAAUAAUUAAAUAAUCCACUCCAACGUGCAGAGUGUUGAUGAUACAAAAUAAACGUAGGAGUACACUCAAAUAGAAAGCAAUAUUAUUGGAGCAAUUGUAAAGUUUUGAAACUCUAUUAUCUCCCCUGAAUAGAGUUUGCAGUGCCUUGUCAUGCAAAUAGCUUGCUUGCAAGGAACGUUUGGAAUUUUUACAAACAUUAUUUUUCGUUUUUAAUUCUUUUAGGUUUGUAAUUCGUUUUUAAUUCUUUUUAAUUUUUUAAUUCGUUGUUUAUAAAAGUAAAAGCAUAUUGUGUAUUGGCCUAUUGGGUUUACACUUUUACAGGUUCAUUUAACUUUAACUCUCUCAAGUCUCAACAGACAAUCGGACACAGGGCCGUAGCGAGGGGGUGUUGGGGGGGGGGGGUGGUUAACCCCCCAACUUUUGUAGAAUUAACAUAUUUGGAAAAUCGGGUUGGCCAUUCGGAAAAUUACGGCAAUAAUAGUAUAACAAAAUUUUAAUUGUUUAAUUAAACAGAAAAAAUAUUAUAAUAUUAUAAUCAGUAUAAAAUGAUUUACGAAAUCACGGCAUUUACAUGGAUAACGUUUAACAAAUCGUAAAUCGGUAAAUUUUUUUCGGUUUCAGUACUUCUCAGGGCCGUAGCAACCGGGGGGGGGGGAGGCAGCACCCUUACAAUAAUUUGCUGAUAAUCAGUCUUUUUUCAAAAUCAUGCACACCUUUAUCAUUUAAACAAUUGAUUAAUUUUAAGCGGCUACAUUAUCCAUGACAAACCGCAAAGAAUUAUAUUACCCAUACUCUUUCCUGCAACUUCUCCAAUAUAUAGCUAAAUACGACUUCGCCCAUUUAAUUCUGCUAAAUUGUAAUCAAAUUGUAAAUUUCGACAUACUAAAACUCUAUUAACAACUCAAACCGACUUUACCACGUAGCUCAGUUGGCAGAGCAUUGGACUAGCAUCCCAAAGGUCGCGGGUUUUAUUUCCACCGUGGGCAAGCUAACUUUUCAGCUUGCCCGGUGUGGAUCAGUGGAUGCAUACUCAGAGUAACAUCACAAACAUCAUAUUCACUUGAGUACACAACACCAACACACACACAUAAAUCAUAUCAAAGAUUACACUGAUGUCGAAGGAACUAGAUUCAGUUCCGAAAUAUCAACAAGUCGAACCGACUUGACCACGUAGCUCAGGUGGGAGAGCAUUGGACUAGUAUCCCAAAGGUCGCAGGUUCGACUCCCACCGUGGCCAGGCACACUUUUCAGCUUGCCCACUGUGGAUGCAUACUCAGAGUAACAUCACAAAUAUCAUAUUAAAACUCUGUUUUCUGACCAUCAGAAUUCUGUCAAAACUUCCCCCAAAGUCCAGGAAAUGGCAUUUCAGAGAAUCUAAAUUUAAAAAUUUCCUCGGGCCUUCGGCCCUCGUUCCCAGCCCCCAAUCAAAAAGAGCUUCCUACGGCACUGCAUACUUCUGUAAUAUGUCUUUGUGGAAACUAUGUGGGCUAUGUGUAUUUUUGUUUGUAAAUUGCGUCUUCAUUUUCCAGAUAGCAAACACCUUCGUUGCUUCGUAUGCCAUGAAAUAUUCGGAAAUUUUUUUCGUCAUUCGGAAAUAUUUGGCCUACACCCCCCACCCCCCAACUAUACAUGCUAGCUACGGCCCUGAUCGGACAGGCCAAAUCCAUUGAUAUGACAACUUCAAAAAACGUUUUUUCGAAGCUAGAAAUCAUGAUUUUUUUCAAAUUUUUCCAGGGAUACUUUGUUUUCUGCUCUCUAGACUCCCCCUCGCGGCUCUAGUGCUCCACCCCUAGAAUAUAGACCUUACUGGGGUUUGGUGACACUUUGUGUUGCUUCAGUCACCUGCUCAUGGCUCACCCCCCUAAAAUUUCUGGCACCACCCCAGUAAAAAAUAUGAAAAUCCGUCUAUGGUUUGGUGACACUUUGUGUUGCUUCAGUCACCUGCUCAUGGCUCACCCCCCUAAAAUUUCUGGCACCACCCCAGUAAAAAAUAUGAAAAUCCGUCUAUGG